CGCGGGAUUGUGACGGCUCGAACUCUUCUACCUCGCGUAGAUCAGGGAUACAAAGCCGCGGGACUGGAGCGUGGUAAUUCACUGAACAAGGACAGAUGACAUGGAGGUGCUCUAAGAAAGACUGCAAGGGUCGAGCCACGACCGCCGGGUGCUACAGUGAACUGACCCUCGUCAACGUUCUGAGCGGCUGCAGCUUCCCUCGGUAAGCGCCUUGACCCGUUUGGCACAGAGGCCACGCCGCGCCUUCAACAUGCCGCUGCCAGCUCCACAGCAC